GACGAACGCUGGCGGCGUGCCUAAUACAUGCAAGUCGAGCGCAGGAAAUCAUCCGAACCUUUCGGGGGGACGUUGAUGGAAUGAGCGGCGGACGGGUGAGUGACACGUAAAGAACCUGCCCUCAGGUCUGGGAUAACCACGAGAAAUCGGGGCUAAUACCGGAUGGGUCAUCGGACCGCAUGGUCCGAGGAUGAAAGGCGCUUCGGCGUCGCCGGGGGAUGGCUUUGCGGUGCAGUAGCUAGUUGGUGGGGUAAUGGCCCACCAAGGCGACGAUGCAUAGCCGACCUGAGAGGGUGAUCGGCCACACUGGGACUGAGACACGGCCCAGACUCCUACGGGAGGCAGCAGUAGGGAAUCUUCCACAAUGGACGAAAGUCUGAUGGAGCAACGCCGCGUGAACGAUGAAGGCCUUCGGGUCGUAAAGUUCUGUUGUAAGGGAAGAACAAGUGCCGCAGGCAAUGGCGGCACCUUGACGGUACCUUGCGAGAAAGCCACGGCUAACUACGUGCCAGCCGCCGCCGUAA
rnacentral:rRNA from 1 species